rnacentral:rRNA from 1 species
ACGCGAAGAACCUUACCCAGGCUUGAACAGCGAGUGACCACCUACGAAAGUAGGCUUCCGCAAGGACACUCGUAGAGGUGCUGCAUGGCUGUCGUCAGCUCGUGUCGUGAGAUGUUGGGUUAAGUCCCGCAACGAGCGCAACCCUUGUUUGCUGUUGCCAUCAGGUUAUGCUGGGCACUCUGCAAAGACUGCCGGUGAUAAACCGGAGGAAGGUGGGGAUGACGUCAAGUCAGCAUGGCCUUUAUGUCUGGGGCUACACACGUGCUACAAUGGCCGGUACAAACCGUCGCGAGCCCGCGAGGGGGAGCUAAUCGGAGAAAGCCGGUCUCAGUUCGGAUAGCAGGCUGCAACUCGCCUGCUUGAAGUUGGAAUCGCUAGUAAUCGCGGAUCAGCACGCCGCGGUGAAUACGUUCCCGGGCCUUGUA